AUCUUAACACUGUGGCAGUAUAGUAGCCCAUGAGGUUCAUCCAAGGUGUGAUUAUUGCUGGUUGAAAACAUUACCCAAUACCCCGCUAUGAUGACUUGAAAUAUAGUCAUCACUGGCAAUUAUUGACUGUCUUUGCAAAAC